CUCAAGGCAGCAGCCACUUUAAGGUACACAUUUGCGCAUGGAGAUCCGCAGAUAUUCCCAUUCCUCACUUUGAAGUAGCGAUCCUGGACCGAGGGGGCCAGAUACACACAGUUUGUCGGUUUCCAUUGAGGCGCAGGCAGACGGGGGAAAGCCGUCCUCAGUGUGUUUCAGCAACAUGCCUCCAGUACAGAAACAAGUUGAGUGUGAAAAGAAAGAAGGGGGAUCAAAGCAGAGUGGGUUUUAAAGAGGC